rnacentral:rRNA from 1 species
GCAGGCGCGUAAAUUACCCAAUCUUGAAACAAGGAGGUAGUGACAAUAAAUAACAAUGCCGGGCCUUUGUAGGUCUGGCAAUUGGAAUGAGAACAAUUUAAAUCCCUUAUCGAGGAUCAAUUGGAGGGCAAGUCUGGUGCCAGCAGCCGCGGUAAUUCCAGCUCCAAUAGCGUAUAUUAAAGUUGUUGCAGUUAAAAAGCUCGUAGUUGGACUUGUGCGUCCCGCUGAUGUCCUUUUUGGUACGUUUGGCGGGAUGCAUCCUUGGGUGGAACCUGUGUGGCAUUAGGUUGUCGUGCAGGGGAUGCUCAUCGUUUACUGUGAAAAAAUUAGAGUGUUCAAAGCAGGCUUAUGCCGUUGAAUAUAUUAGCAUGGAAUAAUAAGAUAGGACCUUGGUACUAUUUUGUUGGUUUGCGCACCGAGGUAAUGAUUAACAGGGACAGUUGGGGGUAUUCGUAUUCCAUUGUCAGAGGUGAAAUUCUUGGAUUUCUGGAAGACGAACUACUGCGAAAGCAUUUACCAAGGAUGUUUUCAUUAAUCAAGAACGAAAGUUAGGGGAUCGAAGAUGAUUAGAUACCAUCGUAGUCUUAACCAUAAACUAUGCCGACAAGGGAUUGGCGGGGUCUUCGUUACGUCUCCGUCAGCACCUUAUGAGAAAUCACAAGUUUUUGGGUUCCGGGGGGAGUAUGGUC